GAUGAACGCUGGCGGCGUGCCUAAUACAUGCAAGUAGAACGCUGAAGGAAGGAGCUUGCUCUUUCCGGAUGAGUUGCGAACGGGUGAGUAACGCGUAGGUAACCUGCCUGGUAGCGGGGGAUAACUAUUGGAAACGAUAGCUAAUACCGCAUAACAGUAGAUGUUGCAUGAUAUCUACUUAAAAGGUGCAAUUGCACCACUACCAGAUGGACCUGCGUUGUAUUAGCUAGUUGGUGAGGUAACGGCUCACCAAGGCGACGAUACAUAGCCGACCUGAGAGGGUGAUCGGCCACACUGGGACUGAGACACGGCCCAGACUACUACGGGAGGCAGCAGUAGGGAAUCGUCGGCAAUGGACGGAAGUCUGACCGAGCAACGCCGCGUGAGUGAAGAAGGGUUUCGGAUCGUAAAGCUCUGUUGUAAGAGAAGAACGAGUGUGAGAGUGGAAAGUUCACACUGUGACGGUAUCUUACCAGAAAGGGACGGCUAACUACGUG
rnacentral:rRNA from 1 species